UUACAGGAUUCCAUCUGCAACAGUUCGUGUAUCAUUUUUGGCUUGGUCAAAAGAUUGGCUUAGUUCUGUGGUAUGGACUGAAGAGAUCUUAUAACUUUAUAAAACAAAAUAAACUCGAGAAUAAAACUCACCUCUACCACAAAAA